rnacentral:rRNA from 1 species
GAUGAACGCUGGCGGCGUGCCUAAUACAUGCAAGUCGAGCGAACGGACGAGAAGCUUGCUUCUCUGAUGUUAGCGGCGGACGGGUGAGUACACGUGGAUAACCUACCUAUAAGACUGGGAUAACUUCGGGAAACCGGAGCUAAUACCGGAUGAUAUUUUGAACCGCAUGGUUCAAAAGUGAAAGACGGUCUUGCUGUCACUUAUAGAUGGAUCCGCGCUGCAUUAGCUAGUUGGUAAGGUAACGGCUUACCAAGGCAACGAUGCAUAGCCGACCUGAGAGGGUGAUCGGCCACACUGGAACUGAGACACGGUCCAGACUCCUACGGGAGGCAGCAGUAGGGAAUCUUCCGCAAUGGGCGAAAGCCUGACGGAGCAACGCCGCGUGAGUGAUGAAGGUCUUCGGAUCGUAAAACUCUGUUAUUAGGGAAGAACAUAUGUGUAAGUAACUGUGCACAUCUUGACGGUACCUAAUCAGAAAGCCACGGCUAACUACGUG